rnacentral:tRNA from 1 species
UGCGGGGUGGAGCAGUUGGCAGCUCGUCGGGCUCAUAACCCGAAGGUCAUCGGUUCAAGUCCGGUCCCCGCUA